rnacentral:misc_RNA from 1 species
CAUGAGUGGUGUUUGGUUUGUUAUUGGUGGUUGGAUGACUGCUUGUGCAGCAACUUCUACCGAUGCAAGCCUUUUCAGUUAUUGUGAAAGCAUAAUUUGCUUUUGAAUGUUGUGGGUUUCUUGUGUUGGUUUCCUGAAAUAUGGUAUUGUAUGGAUUUGAACGAAUCAUGUUUUAUCAUGUGCUACUUUCGUAGCAUGUGAAAAACCAUGAAGCUUUCUCUUUGAUCCAUUUCGUCUAUCCUCUGAUUGAUGUUAUGGCUCAUUGAGUAUUUGCUUGGUCUCAUGGAUGUGGAACAUAAUAUGGUGCUAGGUUCAAUGUUGAUCCUUUUUAGCAUCAUUAAGUGUUAAUUUCUCUCCUUGACAUGACAGUCCAUUUUGUGUUGGCAUGUCCACACAUUAUGGGUUUUGUCUAGAAGGAGUGCUACCUGGUUGAUCCUGCCAGUAGUCAUAUGCUUGUCUCAAAGAUUAAGCCAUGCA